rnacentral:rRNA from 1 species
GAUGAACGCUAGCGGCAGGCUUAAUACAUGCAAGUCGAGGGGCAGCAUGAUUGUAGCAAUACAAUUGAUGGCGACCGGCAAACGGGUGCGGAACACGUACACAACCUCCCAAUAAGUGGGGAAUAGCCCAGAGAAAUUUGGAUUAAUACCCCGUAACAUAACGAUGUGGCAUCACAUUGUUAUUAUAGAUUUUUCGCUUAUUGAUGGGUGUGCGGCUGAUUAGAUAGUUGGCGGGGUAACGGCCCACCAAGUCUACGAUCAGUAGCUGAUGUGAGAGCAUGAUCAGCCACACGGGCACUGAGACACGGGCCCGACUCCUACGGGAGGCAGCAGUAAGGAAUAUUGGACAAUGGACGCAAGUCUGAUCCAGCCAUGCCGCGUGAAGGAUUAAGGUCCUCUGGAUUGUAAACUUCUUUUAUAAGGGACGAAAAAAGGCUUUUCUAAGUCGUCUGACGGUACCUUAUGAAUAAGCACCAGCUAACUCCGUGCCAGCCGCCGCCGUAAAAC